AGAUGCAUUGACAGUUUACCUUGAGUGUGUUAUAGUUUGACUAUACUAUAACUCGAUCUCCUAGCCAUUUAGAAUCCUGAGGUGUAUGUUGCUGUGGCAUAUUCAUUGUUGAACCAGAUUGCACCAAGAUGGGAUCUAUCAACCUCGGUAGAUGAGAGGAGUAGUCCUAUGAUGAUCCAAAGAUCAAAUCCUUAAGCCCAUGACCAUGGCAGAGUGAAAUAAUGGAAAAGAGUUUUCUA
rnacentral:lncRNA from 1 species